ensembl:lncRNA
GGUUAUCUCACCACCAACCAAUCAGGAGUGUGCACAAGCUGCUCACACACGCUGAGACCCUCGCCCUUCGUCCUGCCUGGAAAACCCCUUCCCUGAGAGCCUUUGUGGAUUUGGGGUCUUUGAGCCUGAGCUUCCUCGUUGGGCCCCAUCCUGGACACCUUGCAAUAAACGCUGCGCUUUGCUUCACCACAGCCCGCUGUUGGUAGGCUGACUUUACUGCCUGCAGCCGAGCUGACCCAAGUUUGGCUCGGUAACAGCGCACAGCACAGAGCAAAGUGGGAGGGGUGGAGGGUGAGGGGGCAGACAGGAAGUCUCCACACGGCGUCCAGAGUCCCACUUCAGCUGUGGCCUCUCCUCUGAGCUUCUGUCACGAUAUCUGACACGACCUCUCCACUUGUGUGAAAUACAGAAUCCCGUGGCCAGCAAUCCCGUCUCAGUAAGGAGCAUCGGUCAACAGUUCUCUUUCACAUCUCACAAUGGACACAGCAGCCCUUCAGUCAGCUCUGCAGGGGACCACUGUGCGUCACACCCCUCUCCGGGCUUCCGUGAGAAUCUCCGGGCUGGCCUCCCCUUUCUCUCUGUGACAGGCCUCCCCGCAACUCCCAGCGGAGUGAGCCCUGGCAUUCUUUGGAGCUACGUCUCCCCACCUCCGUGGACGGUGGGGGUCCCAGUUCUCACUGCGGUACAUUCACUUCCCCACCCUCUUGAAGCCAGGAGUGGUACAUGGCCCUGGUCUGCCCACUGGAGUUUGAAGAUAAAUUUUCUUCUCUGAGAGAACUUUCCUUUGUUAUAAAACAAUAUCAUUUUAUUUAUUUUUUGGAAAUGUUUGUCCUUACAGGUGGCCAAUAGGCACAUGAAGAGAUGCUCAGCAUUGCUAAUUAUUAGAAAAAUGAAAACCAGAACAAGUGAGGUGCCACCUCACACCAGUCAGAAAACCCACAAAUAACAAGUGCUGGAGAGGGUAGAGAAAAAAGGGAGCCCUCCUGCACUGUUGGUGGGAAUGUAAACUGGUGCAGCCACUGUGGAAAACAGCAUGGAGCGUCCUCAAAAUACUGAAAAUAGACUUGCACACGAUCCAGCAAUCCCACUCCUGGAUAUGUAUCCCCAAACCUCGAACUUGAAAAGAUACACGCGCCCCUACGUUCACAGCAACACUGUUUCCAACAGGCAAGACAUGGAAGCAACCUAAUGUCCAUGGACACGAAAAGAUGACCACGUGUCCUACUCUGCCAUCUUGAAACAGAAAAUAUAACGGAAUACUACUCAGCCAUACAAAUGACAUAGUGCCAUUUGCAGCAACAGGGAUGGACCCAGAAGUCGUCAUACUAA